ensembl:lncRNA
GUCCUUACGACCGGUAAACGUCGAAUGGAGUGUGAAGCCUCGCUUCUCCCUCUGCAGGUAAAACAUCUGGAAGAGUCUAUAUAUUUGGUCCCGGGAAAUUAGAACUGUUCCUUUUUUAAAAAGCAACAACAUGGUGCGUGCCUUCCAUCGUGUGGGAUGACAAAGAAUUGGAGAUAUCCUCUGCAGGGUCUUCUGAAGCGGUCAAGAUGUCUUCAACAUGCCUGUUCCAGGAGAAGCCGCUGUCUGGGCCCACAUGUGAAAGGCCAGGCUGGAUUAAGGUAUCAUCGUGAUGGUAUGCUGCCCUAUGGACAGACAGGCAGGAAGAAGACCUAAAUCCCUGUCUGGAGCAGAGCAAGGUCUCAAGCUGCUGUUGGAAUCAACCAAAUGAAAUGAGGUGACACGGGAGGAGAGCAUGAACUCCCUCUGUCAAAAAGCCUAAUGAUUUCUGCCUCGUGACCAUAAAGAGCUCACAAGCCCUCAAAUCGUGUUUCAGUUCUGCAAGCUUACUCCCCGCUACUGUAAGCAGCCACUAUCAGAAAAGGGAGCAAAGAUGGAACAGUAAUCCCACCAACGGAGACAGUUGUCGGGACUUUCCUCCUCUCCUCAAGAAAUACUGCGGAUAAAGUGAUAUCCUUAUUUUCUCUGUCACACUUAAGAGGCAGAAGACGGUCAUUGUCGUGGAACUAUUCUCUUUAGCCGUGUACGUGCGGAUCACCAAAGUGCCUUGUCCUGACAAGCUGAAGAGAUGCCUCCAGUGAGAGACGUACAAUCGGGCCAGAGAUCACACGCAUUAUGUUCACUUGAACUUCAGGGUGCAGGGGGGGGGGCUCUGAGACUGAAAGUGACUCAUUGAAUUACCCUGGCCCAUCUUGACACAGCGCAGGUAGCAGUCAGGUCUUCAAUAGAGGGUGAAAGGGCGUCUGGAGCCGAAUCCCAGCUGACAUUGGGCGAAUGCACAGGGAGUCGUCGCAAGACUAUCGGAAGGCUGACACAACUAAUAAGGCUCACAUUUACACCUACGGGCAAUUUAGAGUCAUGCUCUAACAGGGGUUAGAGGAAACCACGC